rnacentral:rRNA from 1 species
AGGAACGAACGUUAGCGGCGCGCUUAACACAUGCAAGUCGCACGAGAAAGGGCUUCGGCCCCGGUACAGUGGCGCACGGGUGAGUAACACGUGGAUAAUCUUCCCUUAGGCGGGGGAUAACCUUCCGAAAGGAGGGCUAAUACCGCAUAAGACCACGCCCUCGAAAGAGGGAGGGGUUAAAGCAGGCCUCUGAAUUCAAGCUUGCACCUGAGGAUGAGUCCGCGGCCCAUCAGCUAGUUGGCAGGGUAAUGGCCUACCAAGGCGACGACGGGUAGCUGGUCUGAGAGGACGAUCAGCCACACUGGGAUUGAGAACGGCCCAGACUCCUACGGGGGCAGCAGUGAGGAAUUUUCGUCAAUGGGGGCAACCCUGAACGAGCAACGCCGCGUGCAGGAAGAAGGUUUUCGGAUCGUAAACUGCUUUUCUCGGGGAAGAGAACGGACGGUACCCGAGGAAUCAGCCCCGGCUAACUACGUGCCAGCAGGCCGC